UAUAUUGUAUGCUUGUGAUUCUGGAGGAGAUUAGGUUAAAUUGCAGCUCUGAGCAGAUCAUGGUUUUCUUCACUAUAUUCAGAAGUUUGCUUGCAAGUUUCAACUGAACUUACAUAUGAGGGAAUCAAAACAUGCUUUAUGUAGGACAACAGAUCCAGUCAAUUCCAGUUGGAUCCAGUCGGACAGUGUUUCAGAGACACCUUCAUCCCAGGGAGGGGCACAAAAUCCUGUAACUGGGUCGGCUCUGGGGAAUGUCCCCAAACAUUUCUGCUGAGCUUUGGCCGCCCAAAACUGUACCCACUACAGAUUGUGCUCUUCAUGGUGGGAGACGAAGAUCCCCAUGUCGGAGUCACAGACCAACUUCUGCGGAGCCUUGGUUUGGCUUUGAUUUCCAUCUUGGUGCUGCUAAUGGCAGUGACAUUUGACAACGAGGAUCCCAUUGCCUUGUGGUUUACCAAUUCUUCUCUUGGGGAUGUUCGUUUGGGGAGAAAUCCCACAUUCAUUUUAAUGUACAUUAACUCAUCUGAAGGUCCCAUGCUUUGCCUGUCACUAGACAUUCAUGAUACCAAAUAAUUAUAAUCGCAACACAAUCCUUAAAAUUAUUUUUCAUUAUGAAAUCUUCAAAAGACAAUCUGUUAAAUGGUUCCCAUCAACAUCUUCAUUCUGUCCUUUGUAUGUUGAAAUGCUAUAAUAAUUCCAAUCUCUAUUCUCCUUAAUUCAGAAAAGAUUGCAAAUUCUCACUUGUGAAUAAAAAAAGAAAUUCCAA